UUUUUUUUAAAAGUAUUUAUGUUUGACAUGUGUCUUAGUGCUUCUGGUAGUUUAUUCCAUAAAGUUGGGCCAGAAUAUGAAAAAGAUCUUCUAAAUGUGUUUGUUCUUGCCUUUGGUAUAUUAAGUAAUUGGGUAGUAUUUGAUCUAAGUUGCAUUCCAUUUUUAUUUGUAACAUAGGAGAUUUUGUUUGACCAAUAUUCUGGGACAGAUCCAUAUAAACAUCUAUGAACAUAUAAGGCCUUGUGGUAAAUUACACGAUCAGUAAAUCGAAGCCAUGAUAACUUUUUAAACAUUGUAUUAGAUGGGGUAUCAUAAGGAAGUUCAAGAAUAAUUCUAGCUGCUCGUUUUUGAAGUUUAUCUAAUCUAUUUGUAUUUCGGUCACUGGUGUUUCCCCAAAUUGUAUAACAGUAAUCCAAAAUAGGGAGAAUAUAACCAUUAAAGUAUAACUUUCGUGUUUCUAGGGGGAGGGAUUUCAUUAUCCUAGACAAAAGAUUUAGCCUGGUACUGAUUUUUGUGCACAAAGUGUCAAUUUGGGCUGUCCACUCAAGAUUUUUAUCAAUAAAAAACCAUAGGAGCUUUUCGCCAUUAACAUCUCUAAUGUGGGAGCUACCAACAGUCAAAUGAAGAACAUGGUCUGUUUUUGCUAGUUUCUGUCUAGAACCAAUAAC
rnacentral:lncRNA from 1 species